AAAACUCUAAGCGGUGGAUCACUCGGCUCAUGGGUCGAUGAAGAACGCAGCAAACUGUGCGUCAUCGUGUGAACUGCAGGACACAUGAACAUCGACAUUUUGAACGCAUAUCGCAGUCCAUGCUGUUAUGUACUUUAAUUAAUUUUAUAGUGCUGCUUGGACUACAUAUGGUUGAGGGUUGUAAGACUAUGCUAAUUAAGUUGCUUAUAAAUUUUUAUAAGCAUAUGGUAUAUUAUUGGAUAAAUAUAAUAAUUUUUAUUCAUAAUAUUAAAAAAUAAAUGAAAAACAUUAUCUCACAUUUGAAUGUGAAAAACGAAGAGAAAUAUUUUCUUUUUCAAUCAAAUAAUACUGAGAAAUGUCUAGCAUAAAAAAUUGAAAUAUUUUUCAUCUAGAAUUGUCUCUUAUUAAUGAUUCGGAAAUAGAAAAAUCUUGGUUAUGUUAUUAUUCUUCGUUGGUUCGUUAAAAAUGGAUAAAUAAAAACUUUGCAUACAAGAAUUAAUAAAAAUGUUAUAACGAAUUUAAUUAAAUGUUUUAUCAUUAUAUAUAAAGAAUUUAUGGCAAGAUAAAGUUAUAUACAACCUCAACUCAUAUGGGACUACCCCCUGAAUUUAAGCAUAUUAAUUAGGGGAGGAAAAGAAACUAACAAGGAUUUUCUUAGUAGCGGCGAGCGAAAAGAAAACAGUUCAGCACUAAGUCACUUUGUCUAUAUGGCAAAUGUGAGAUGCAGUGUAUGGAGCGUCAAUAUUCUAGUAUGAGAAAUUAACGAUUUAAGUCCUUCUUAAAUGAGGCCAUUUACCCAUAGAGGGUGCCAGGCCCGUAUAACGUUAAUGAUUACUAGAUGAUGUUUCCAAAGAGUCGUGUUGCUUGAUAGUGCAGCACUAAGUGGGUGGUAAACUCCAUCUAAAACUAAAUAUAACCAUGAGACCGAUAGUAAACAAGUACCGUGAGGGAAAGUUGAAAAGAACUCUGAAUAGAGAGUUAAACAGUACGUGAAACUGCUUAGAGGUUAAGCCCGAUGAACCUGAAUAUCCGUUAUGGAAAAUUCAUCAUUAAAAUUGUAAUAUUUAAAUAAUAUUAUGAGAAUAGUGUGCAUUUUUUCCAUAUAAGGACAUUGUAAUCUAUUAGCAUAUACCAAAUUUAUCAUAAAAUAUAACUUAUAGUUUAUUCCAAUUAAAUUGCUUGCAUUUUAACACAGAAUAAAUGUUAUUAAUUUGAUAAAGUGCUGAUAGAUUUAUAUGAUUACAGUGCGUUAAUUUUUCGGAAUUAUAUAAUGGCAUAAUUAUCAUUGAUUUUUGUGUUUAUUAUAUGCACUUGUAUGAUUAACAAUGCGAAAGAUUCAGGAUACCUUCGGGACCCGUCUUGAAACACGGACCAAGGAGUCUAACAUAUGUGCAAGUUAUUGGGAUAUAAACCUAAUAGCGUAAUUAACUUGACUAAUAAUGGGAUUAGUUUUUUAGCUAUUUAUAGCUAAUUAACACAAUCCCGGGGCGUUCUAUAUAGUUAUGUAUAAUGUAUAUUUAUAUUAUUUAUGCCUCUAACUGGAACGUACCUUGAGCAUAUAUGCUGUGACCCGAAAGAUGGUGAACUAUACUUGAUCAGGUUGAAGUCAGGGGAAACCCUGAUGGAAGACCGAAACAGUUCUGACGUGCAAAUCGAUUGUCAGAAUUGAGUAUAGGGGCGAAAGACCAAUCGAACCAUCUAGUAGCUGGUUCCUUCCGAAGUUUCCCUCAGGAUAGCUGGUGCAUUUUAAUAUUAUAUAAAAUAAUCUUAUCUGGUAAAGCGAAUGAUUAGAGGCCUUAGGGUCGAAACGAUCUUAACCUAUUCUCAAACUUUAAAUGGGUAAGAACCUUAACUUUCUUGAUAUGAAGUUCAAGGUUAUGAUAUAAUGUGCCCAGUGGGCCACUUUUGGUAAGCAGAACUGGCGCUGUGGGAUGAACCAAACGUAAUGUUACGGUGCCCAAAUUAACAACUCAUGCAGAUACCAUGAAAGGCGUUGGUUGCUUAAAACAGCAGGACGGUGAUCAUGGAAGUCGAAAUCCGCUAAGGAGUGUGUAACAACUCACCUGCCGAAGCAACUAGCCCUUAAAAUGGAUGGCGCUUAAGUUGUAUACCUAUACAUUACCGCUAAAGUAGAUGAUUUAUAUUACUUGUGAUAUAAAUUUUGAAACUUUAGUGAGUAGGAAGGUACAAUGGUAUGCGUAGAAGUGUUUGGCGUAAGCCUGCAUGGAGCUGCCAUUGGUACAGAUCUUGGUGGUAGUAGCAAAUAAUCGAAUGAGACCUUGGAGGACUGAAGUGGAGAAGGGUUUCGUGUGAACAGUGGUUGAUCACGAGUUAGUCGGUCCUAAGUUCAAGGCGAAAGCCGAAAAUUUUCAAGUAAAACAAAAAUGCCUAACUAUAUAAACAAAGCGAAUUAUAAUACACUUGAAUAAUUUUGAACGAAAGGGAAUACGGUUCCAAUUCCGUAACCUGUUGAGUAUCCGUUUGUUAUUAAAUAUGGGCCUCGUGCUCAUCCUGGCAACAGGAACGACCAUAAAGAAGCCGUCGAGAGAUAUCGGAAGAGUUUUCUUUUCUGUUUUAUAGCCGUACUACCAUGGAAGUCUUUCGCAGAGAGAUAUGGUAGAUGGGCUAGAAGAGCAUGACAUAUACUGUUGUGUCGAUAUUUUCUCCUCGGACCUUGAAAAUUUAUGGUGGGGACACGCAAACUUCUCAACAGGCCGUACCAAUAUCCGCAGCUGGUCUCCAAGGUGAAGAGUCUCUAGUCGAUAGAAUAAUGUAGGUAAGGGAAGUCGGCAAAUUAGAUCCGUAACUUCGGGAUAAGGAUUGGCUCUGAAGAUUGAGAUAGUCGGGCUUGAUUGGGAAACAAUAACAUGGUUUAUGUGCUCGUUCUGGGUAAAUAGAGUUUCUAGCAUUUAUGUUAGUUACUUGUUCCCCGGAUAGUUUAGUUACGUAGCCAAUUGUGGAACUUUCUUGCUAAAAUUUUUAAGAAUACUAUUUGGGUUAAACCAAUUAGUUCUUAUUAAUUAUAACGAUUAUCAAUUAACAAUCAAUUCAGAACUGGCACGGACUUGGGGAAUCCGACUGUCUAAUUAAAACAAAGCAUUGUGAUGGCCCUAGCGGGUGUUGACACAAUGUGAUUUCUGCCCAGUGCUCUGAAUGUCAAAGUGAAGAAAUUCAAGUAAGCGCGGGUCAACGGCGGGAGUAACUAUGACUCUCUUAAGGUAGCCAAAUGCCUCGUCAUCUAAUUAGUGACGCGCAUGAAUGGAUUAACGAGAUUCCUACUGUCCCUAUCUACUAUCUAGCGAAACCACAGCCAAGGGAACGGGCUUGGAAUAAUUAGCGGGGAAAGAAGACCCUUUUGAGCUUGACUCUAAUCUGGCAGUGUAAGGAGACAUAAGAGGUGUAGAAUAAGUGGGAGAUAUUAGACCUCGGUUUGGUAUCGUCAAUGAAAUACCACUACUCUUAUUGUUUCCUUACUUACUUGAUUAAAUGGAACGUGUAUCAUUUCCUAGCCAUUAUACGGAUAUAUUUAUUAUAUCUUAUGGUAUUGGGUUUUGAUGCAAGCUUCUUGAUCAAAGUAUCACGAGUUUGUUAUAUAAUCGCAAA
rnacentral:rRNA from 1 species